GAAUAUUGGACAAUGGGCGAAAGCCUGAUCCAGCAAUGCCGCGUGAGUGAUGAAGGCCUUAGGGUUGUAAAGCUCUUUUACCAGGGAUGAUAAUGACAGUACCUGGAGAAUAAGCUCCGGCUAACUCCGUGCCAGCAGCCGCGGUAAUACGGAGGGAGCUAGCGUUGUUCGGAAUUACUGGGCGUAAAGCGCGCGUAGGCGGCUUUUCAAGUCAGGCGUGAAAGGCCUGGGCUCAACCCGGGAAUUGCGCUUGAGACUGGGCUGGCUUGAGUGCGGGAGAGGAUGGUGGAAUUCCCAGUGUAGAGGUGAAAUUCGUAGAUAUUGGGAAGAACACCGGUGGCGAAGGCGGCCAUCUGGACCGCAACUGACGCUGAGGCGCGAAAGCGUGGGGAGCAAACAGG
rnacentral:rRNA from 1 species